GGCAGCAUCAUGAAGAGGCUAGCGGGCAGUGUGCUGGGGCUUCUGUUUGCCCAGGUUUGCUGUGUGCGAGGAGUGGAUGUGGAGCAGAGUCCCCCAGCCCUGAGUCUCCAGGAGGGAGCCAGCUCCACGCUGCGGUGUAAUUUUUCCAUCUCUGUGAACAAUGUGCAGUGGUAUCGUCAGAACCCUGGGGGCCGCCUCAUCCACCUGUUUUCCAUUCCUUCAGGGACAAGGCAGAAUGGAAGAUUAAAUGCCACAACAGUCCCCAAAGACCGCCGCAGCUCACUGUACAUUUCCUCUUCCCAGACCACAGACUCAGCCACUUACUUCUGUGCUGUGGAGCACAGUGCUCCCCAGGCACCUGCAGCCUGUGCACAAACCCUCAGCGGGGCUCAGCCCCUCCUCCAGCCACAAUCACACCAUGAGGCCACCACAUGGCAUUUGCAUCACUUAUUAUUCCUUACCUCCACUGGGGUGAGUGGCCAACAGAAGGAAGGAAGAAAACGACCAGCAGCAGGUGAAACUGAGCCCCUAUCUUUGACAGUUCAGGAAGGAGAGAUUUCAGUUCGGAACUGUACUUACGAGAAGCGUGAGUUUGGCUACCUUCCAUGGUACCAGAAAUACCCUGGGAAAGGCCCUGCAUUCUAUUCUUGA